rnacentral:misc_RNA from 1 species
CCCCUAUUUGCUUCAUGGACGACCCUGGGGGGAGGUUCCUUAUCAAUGCUUAUACAAAUCAUUUGGGAGUUUGAAAGGUUUACUGUGAUCCUUUUUAGGUUCUUGGAACUUGGAUGUACUUGCCCUCUUUAGUGAUUGCAUUUGCAAUUUUGCAUGUACUUGCAUUUUUACGUUCUUGACUGAUCGGACUUUUGAAUAAGUUGUUUUGAACUUUGAACUUUUUUGGGAUGGCUUUUGGAAGUGGAUGUGGGAUAGGAAACUAUUUAUUUAUAUUCUCUCUCUUUUUUUUUUUUGUUUUUUGGUUAA